rnacentral:rRNA from 1 species
GACGAACGCUGGCGGCGUGCCUAAUACAUGCAAGUCGAACGAACCGCGACUAAGUGCUUGCACUAAGUCAAGGUGAGUGGCGAACGGGUGAGUAACACGUGGGUAACCUACCUCAUAGUGGGGGAUAACAGUCGGAAACGACUGCUAAUACCGCAUAGGACAUAGGAUCACAUGAUCCAGUGAGGAAAGGUGGCGCAAGCUAUCGCUAAGAGAUGGACCCGCGGUGCAUUAGCUAGUUGGUAGGGUAAAGCCUACCAAGGCGAUGAUGCAUAGCCGACCUGAGAGGGUGAUCGGCCACAUUGGGACUGAGACACGGCCCAAACUCCUACGGGAGGCAGCAGUAGGGAAUCUUCCGCAAUGGACGCAAGUCUGACGGAGCAACGCCGCGUGAGUGAAGAAGGUCUUCGGAUCGUAAAGCUCUGUUGUUAGAGAAGAACAGCGCAUAGAGUAACUGCUAUGCGUGUGACGGUAUCUAACCAGAAAGCCACGGCUAACUACGUG